AACGAACGCUGGCGGCAUGCCUAACACAUGCAAGUCGAACGAACCCUUCGGGGUUAGUGGCGCACGGGUGCGUAACGCGUGGGAAUCUGCCCUUUGCUUCGGAAUAACUCAGGGAAACUUGUGCUAAUACCGGAUGAUGUCUUCGGACCAAAGAUUUAUCGGCAAGGGAUGAGCCCGCGUAGGAUUAGGUAGUUGGUGGGGUAAAGGCCUACCAAGCCGACGAUCCUUAGCUGGUCUGAGAGGAUGAUCAGCCACACUGGGACUGAGACACGGCCCAGACUCCUACGGGAGGCGGCAGUGGGGAAUAUUGGACAAUGGGCGCAAGCCUGAUCCAGCAAUGCCGCGUGAGUGAUGAAGGCCCUCGGGUCGUAAAGCUCUUUUACCAGGUAUGAUAAUGUCAGUACCUGGAGAAUAAGCUCCGGCUAACUCCGUG
rnacentral:rRNA from 1 species